ACACUGCCCAGUAUAUCCGUGCCCUCAUCCAAAAUGGAAAGUGAACUCAGACAGCCUUGCUAUGGCCCGACUUCUUAGUUAACCUUUUGAGGAAAUGGAUAUGACGACAUGUAUCCAGAAUCCAGAUGCUUACAAUGCCGAAAUAUCAGCAAAUGGUAGCAUUCCACUGCAAACUCUGCAUCCUUUGCUAGAUCUCUUCCACGCGUUAUUGCUUAUUCUGCCGUGUCAGACACGUGUUGCCUAACUUAUAUAAAACAUAGAAUAAAUUGGUGG
rnacentral:sRNA from 1 species